rnacentral:lncRNA from 1 species
CUCACUACCGAAACUCACCGAAGGAAACAGACGCCAGUGCUCCUCCCGGGGCUGCCACCACGGCUCCGGCAGGCGGGCCGGGGACCGGCCGAACCUGAGUUGACGGUGGAGGGGCUCGGGUUAGCUAGAUGGGCGGUUGGUUAGAUGCGUAAGCGGUAGUAUGCGAGCUCAGUUCGUUGUUGCUGGUUGGCUGUCUAGUCGGCCGAUCCGUCUGCUCACCCGGCCUGCCCUUUCCUGCCUUUCGUCUGCAGCGGCCGCCAGCUCCUGCUCGGUGUCCAAAACAAAAUGGCCGCCACGUCCAGUGCUUGUCUGACCGGCUAAAAUGGCGUCUACGCAAUUACGUCAGGCGUCAGAUCCGCGCACGACUAGAGGGCGGGAAAGAUUUGAGCUACGCCUGCGCAGAGAAUCGACCACGGAAAUUUGACACCUCCGGGCUUGGAAGCAGCUCUCUCCUCCUUCCCCGCUGCUUAUAAACCUCAGCCCUGAGGCUCCAGCUCACUCUACCCCAUCUCCUUGCCGGGUCAGCCCUGACAAAGGUCAGCUAGCCCCUUGAGGACAUCAGCUUUGGCCUCAGGGUCCUAAUGGCAGCAGAACCACUGACAGAGCUAGAGGAGUCCAUUGAGACCGUGGUCACCACCUUCUUCACCUUUGCAAGGCAGGAGGGCCGGAAGGAUAGCCUCAGCGUCAACGAGUUCAAAGAGCUGGUUACCCAGCAGUUGCCCCAUCUGCUCAAGGGUGUGGGUGGCUGCAUGUGUCAAUGGUUGCAGGUUUUCUUUUGUUUUUUCGAGACAAAGUCUCACUCUGUUGCCCAGGCCGGAGUGCAGUGGUGUGAUCUUGGCUCACUGCAACCUCCAUCUCCGGGGUUCAAGUGAUUCUCCUGCCUCAGCCUCCUGAGUAGCUGGGAUUACAGGUGUGUGCCACCACGCCGAGCCUAUUUCUGUAUUUUUAGUAGAGACAGGGUUUCACCAGGUUGGCCAGGCUGGUCUCGAACUCCUGACCUCAGGUGAUC